AUACGGAGGAUGCGAGCGUUAUCCGGAUUUAUUGGGUUUAAAGGGAGCGUAGGUGGGAUAUUAAGUCAGCUGUGAAAGUUUGGGGCUCAACCUUAAAAUUGCAGUUGAUACUGGUUUCCUUGAGUACGGUACAGGUGGGCGGAAUUCGUGGUGUAGCGGUGAAAUGCUUAGAUAUCACGAAGAACUCCGAUUGCGAAGGCAGCCUGCUGGACUGUAACUGACGCUGAUGCUCGAAAGUGUGGGUAUCAAACAGGAUUAGAUACCCUGGUAGUCCACACAGUAAACGAUGAAUACUCGCUGUUUGCGAUAUACAGUAAGCGGCCUAGCGAAAGCGUUAAGUAUUCCACCUGGGGAGUACGCCGGCAACGGUGAAACUCAAAUGAAUUGACGGGG
rnacentral:rRNA from 1 species